rnacentral:rRNA from 1 species
AGACGGCGACCGGCGCACGGGUGAGUAACACGUAUCCAACCUGCCGAUAACUCGGGGAUAGCCUUUCGAAAGAAAGAUUAAUACCCGAUGGUAUAAUCAGACCGCAUGGUCUUGUUAUUAAAGAAUUUCGGUUAUCGAUGGGGAUGCGUUCCAUUAGGCAGUUGGUGAGGUAACGGCUCACCAAACCUUCGAUGGAUAGGGGUUCUGAGAGGAAGGUCCCCCACAUUGGAACUGAGACACGGUCCAA